CCUGGAACAGCAACAGCCAAUGACAGCACAGAAGGAAAGUUAAGCGUGAGAAAGCCGACGCCAGCGCGGCGUUCCUCGGGUCUCCGCGGGAGCCUGAAAAUUGAGGUCACAAAUCCAGUAUGAAAACUGACAGCUGUCAGGAAGGAGGUUAUUGAAUUCAUUGGAGAAUGAGUGCUGUCCCAAACUUGGAACCAAGAAAUUGAUACCUGCUUGUUCGGAAACUCUGUAGUCCCUGUCUAAAAAGCUUCACCUCUUGCUUGCUAAGGAACAGAGUGUGAUGAAUUACAACAGCAAAACCAGGCCCCUGUGUUCUGUCCCCAGGAUGGCGGACAUCCCAUUCUCACACAAAUGCUUUGUACAAUGCGGGUCCCGAUUGGCAGUGUUGGCCUGGAGAUGAAAUUCUCGAUGGCUGUGUAUGAGAGAGAAGAGUGGAGCAAGAUUGGAGCAAGAGACCAGAAGCCAGUCUAUCACCUGUUUCUCAGGGACCUCACUUCACCUCUUUAAGUUUCAGUGUCUCCGUCUGUUGGUGGAGAGUGACACACAGCACCUUCACUCUCAGAGUCGUAAAUGUCUUUGUAAAGCACGGGAGAUGCUAGAGAGGCCUGCAAGACCCCAUGGUUCCCUUUAUGUAGCAAAAUAAAACCCCAUCUGAUAGUCUAAAAAUUAUAGAACUUUUUUUUAAAGAAGAUGAUCUUAUACCUGAAAAAGCACUUGCAUUUUUUUUUAAUUCAUCAGCAGAUGGUGUUCCAUAAA